rnacentral:lncRNA from 1 species
CAAUAAUUUCCACUGAGGUUUGAUUUCAAAUAUUAUCCUAAUUAAUUUAUUCCACUAACUUAUUAGACUUUAGUGCCCCAACAAAAGCAAAGUGGUCUACAUUUACCUUUUUUUUCAUUUGAAUAAUAUUAAUAAUUAUGCUUUCUUUUUAAUUAUUAUUAGUGCAAAAAAUUAAUAAAACUGUCAACUUCAAGUUUUGUUGUCAACAAAAGCUUCCUCCUUAGGGAAUUUAUUUCUUCUUGCAUUAUACAUAGGAAACAAUAGUUUUGUGAAAGUACAUGUAGAAAAAUACCAACAUGGAUUUCAUGUUUCUCAAGAAAUUCACACUCUUCUUCCUCCUUAUUUCUGGCUCAAUCUUAGCAACUUCUUUUGCUGGUUAGUCUUUUCUUAAUUAUAGUGUUUCAUAUAUAUUAUAUUAAAUUUAUACUAUGUUGUUGGGCUUAGUUUAACAUAUGUAAAUUAAAUUACUAAUUUAUAUUUGAUUCCAUGAUUUUGGUUCAUAAGCCAUGUGAUCAACUUGGUAACUUUAAUCUUUGAAAUUGAUUUUUUUUUUUUGCAUAAUGUUCAAUUAUAUAUAUUAGAUGAAAGAAAAAGUUAUCACCUAUGUGUUCUUAUUGCAUGUGCAGGUCGAGCAUCUAAUUUCACUUUCAGUAGAAAAAAAUCAGUUUCAAUUGUUGGUUAAGCGUUCCUUAAAAUUCUCCAUAAGGUUCUCGUAACCUUCCUUAUUUUCAUUUACUAUUUAUUUUCUUUUGCUUCUCCUUGUUUCUCUCUUCUUUGACCAACAAUCGCUUCAAUGGUAUAACAAUUUCAAUUGAUUGAAACGUGGGCAAGUAUAACAUGUAUUAGAACCGUUGGAUUGUAAUGGUGCAUGGAUCUUUUGGGGCACUUGAUUUUCCUCUUGAUAUGCCAG